CGGACGGGUGAGUAACGCGUGAGAAUCUGCCCUCAGGAGGGGGAUAACGGCUGGAAACGGCCGCUAAUACCCCAUAUGCCGAGAGGUGAAAUGAAAUUCGCCCGAGGAUGAGCUCGCGUCUGAUUAGCUAGUUGGUGGGGUAAGAGCCUACCAAGGCUUCGAUCAGUAGCUGGUCUGAGAGGAUGAUCAGCCACACUGGGACUGAGACACGGCCCAGACUCCUACGGGAGGCAGCAGUGGGGAAUUUUCCGCAAUGGGCGAAAGCCUGACGGAGCAACGCCGCGUGAGGGAUGAAGGCCUCUGGGCUGUAAACCUCUUUUCUCAAGGAAGAAGAUCUGACGGUACUUGAGGAAUAAGCCACGGCUAAUUCCGUGCCAGCAGCCGCGGUAAUACGGGAGUGGCAAGCGUUAUCCGGAAUUAUUGGGCGUAAAGCGUCCGCAGGCGGCCUCGUAAGUCUGUCGUUAAAGCGUGGAGCUUAACUCCAUUUCAGCGAUGGAAACUGUGAGGCCAGAGUGUGGUAGGGGCAGAGGGAAUUCCCGGUGUAGCGGUGAAAUGCGUAGAUAUCGGGAAGAACACCAGUGGCGAAGGCGCUCUGCUGGGCCAUAACUGACGCUCAUGGACGAAAGCCAGGGGAGCGAAUGGGAUUAGAUACCCCAGUAGUC
rnacentral:rRNA from 1 species